GCGAAAACUCUACAAUGCUGGCAACAGCGAUAAGGGAACCUCGAGUGCCAGGUUACAAAUCUGGCUGUCGAGAUGCCUAAAAAGCAUUUCAUAGCAAGGGCCGGGCAAGACCGGUGCCAGCCGCCGCGGUAACACCGGCGGCUCGAGUGGUAACCGUUAUUAUUGGGUCUAAAGGGUCUGUAGCCGGCCGGAUAAGUCUCUUGAGAAAUCUGGCAGCUUAACUGUCAGGCUUUCAGGAGAUACUGUCUGGCUCGAGGCCGGGAGAGGUGAGAGGUACUUCAGGGUAGGGGUGAAAUCUUGUAAUCCUUGAAGGACCACCAGUGGCGAAGGCGUCUCACUAGAACGGACCUGACGGCAAGGGACGAAAGCUAGGGGCACGAACC
rnacentral:rRNA from 1 species